rnacentral:rRNA from 1 species
UUCUGGUUGAUCCCGGCGGAGGCUACUGCUAUUGGGAUUCGAUUAAGCCAUGCGAGUUGAAUGAAUUUAGAUUCAUGGCGUACGGCUCAGUAACACGUGGAUAACUUACCCUUAGGACUGGGAUAACUCUGGGAAACUGGGGAUAAUACCGGAUAUUAGGCUAUGGCUGGAAUGCUUUGCCUUUGAAAUGUUUCUUGUAUUCGCCUAAGGAUAGAUCUGCGGCUGAUUAGGUCGUUGGUGGGGUAAUGGCCCACCAAGCCUAUGAUCGGUACGGGUUGUGAGAGCAAGAGCCCGGAGAUGGAACCUGAGACAAGGUUCCAGACCCUACGGGGUGCAGCAGGCGCAAAACCUCCGCAAUGUACGAAAGUGCGACGGGGGGAUCCCAAGUGUUAUUCUUAAUAGGAUAACUUUUCAUUAGUGUAAAAAGCUUUUAGAAUAAGAGCUGGGCAAGACCGGUGCCAGCCGCCGCGGUAACACCGGCAGCUCAAGUGGUAGCUGUUUUUAUUGGGCCUAAAGCGUUCGUAGCCGGUUUGAUAAGUCUUUGGUGAAAGCUUAUGGCUUAACUGUAAGAAUUGCUGAAGAUACUGUCAGACUUGAAGUCGGGAGAAGGUAGAGGUACUACCGGGGGUAGGGGUGAAAUCCUAUAAUCCUGGGNAGGACCCACUGUGGCGAAGGCGUCCUACUGGAACGAUCUUGACCGUGAGUAACGAAAGCCAGGGG